AUGAGCAGCGAACGGGUGAGUAACGCGUGGGGAAUCUGCCUCUUAGCAGGGGAUAACAUUUGGAAACAGAUGCUAAUACCGUAUAACAAUGACAACCGCAUGGUUGCUACUUAAAAGAUGGUUCUGCUAUCACUAAGAGAUGGUCCCGCGGUGCAUUAGUUAGUUGGUGAGGUAAUGGCUCACCAAGACGAUGAUGCAUAGCCGAGUUGAGAGACUGAUCGGCCACAAUGGGACUGAGACACGGCCCAGACUCC
rnacentral:rRNA from 1 species